rnacentral:tRNA from 1 species
GGUGAAUUUUCAUAUUGAAUUGCAAAUUCAAAGAAGCAGCCUAGACGCCGCCGGG